UUGAAUCUGCCACAUAUUCAAUGGGACCAAAUAUAUAUAUGCAACUAUUACACUAACCUCAAAUUUUGGGUGGAGUCGAUCUUGUACUUCCCUUUUUGUGCAUAAUCUUCCAAGUCAAGUUCAUAAAGUUCUUUAGGGUCAGUAGGGAGAGGCACAUUCCAUUUUCUUAUGGCAGCAACAAUGACCUUUGCCAUCCUUGUGAAUGGGCUUCCUGUGGGCUUCUUGUGCCUGUAGAAGGGUGUGCCAGUGAAGAAAAUCGCAAUGGAUAUAGAAAGACCGAGUGUCGGAAGCCCAUAACCCAAGGUCCAACCCACAUUGUCUUGAAUGUAGACAAGCACUGUAUUGGCAAAGAGUGCCCCAAAGAAGAUACUGAACAUCCACCAGUUGAAGAAGGAGAGCUUAUGGGCCUUCUCCUUGGGCUCAAAUUCAUCGAAUUGGUCCGCGCCGAUUGUUGAGAUGUUGGGCUUGGUUCCUCCGGUUCCCACAGCCAGCGUGUAGAGUGCAGCAAAGAAGAUACCUAAUUGUAAUGUCGAAGCCUUCUUACAGUCUCGACUGUUAAUAUCUUUGCAUGCAGGAGGUUUCAACCCAGGUAAUGAUACGGAUAGUGUUAGUACAAUCAUCCCCUGUUCUAGAAAAAAGAAAAUAUAGAAUUAAAAAAUCAUUAAAAAGAAUACAAAAAAAAUUAUAUGUCUUUAUAUACAAUACGCCCACUUGGCUUAAUGGUCUGGUUUUUCGAUCUUUAACUAGUCAACAAAGAGCUAACGAAAAGCUGCAAGGAGUAGGAAAGUGCAACAAAGGGGGUUACAGUACAUAAGGAUGUGGAUGUAGGAGCAGGAAAUGGGGGGGAAACACAAAAGCGAGGGAAGAAUUAAUACAAAAAGAAAAAUCAGAAAUGGCAGUGUGCCUUGGUUUAGAAAAAGCGAGAAAUUUUGAGCAGAAAAGAAUGAAAUCAAAACGGCUUUGGAAGAUAGAGAGGGCCAACAUAAAACAAGCAUAGGCCUAGCCCAAAUGGAAUCGGAAGUUGAAGACACAAAAAAUGAGCCGAGAAUGGAUAAAUAAAAACCCAAAAGAAAGAAUUGGAAAUUCCAAGCCCAAAAUAUGGAAGGAAUCGAAGACAAAAUGGAGGGGCCUACAAACUUAGAAAGGCCCAUGAGCUUAAUGAAUUGGGAAAGCCCAAGGGCAAAAAAGAGUAAAACAAGUAGCCUAUAGAAGUUUGAAUUUUCACAACAGGUACAAAGAUAUAGUGCAACAACUGCAAAGCUAAUCUUUGAUAAUGAGAAUAGUGAGCUAAGGGAGGAGAUUCAGAAUGCAGUAAAUGAAAUAUCAGCGGUAGGGAUGGGCGUUCGGUUUGGGUUAACUGGUGAAACCCGAACAAAUUCAAAGUUUCAACUCGUUCGGGUUAAAAUUCUCAACCCGUUCGGGUUGAAGCUUUUUUUUUUUUUUAAGAUUCAGCAGCUUUCAGCUUUUAAAAUUUAAAAAUAUAUAUACAUUAAACAAAAAAUCCCUAAACAUCUAAUUGUUCCUCAAAGAUGUUUGGAAUAUUUGGAAUUGAGAGUUUUAAAUUGUUGAAAUGUUAUUAAGGAUGAUUUGUAGUUGAUAUUUGUUAUUAAGGAUGUUUGGAAUUGAGAUUUUUGGAUUUUAAGUGGUUGUUAUAAUUUUUGGAUUAAAUUGUUCCUUAAGGGUGUUUGGAAUUGAGAUUUUUGGAUUUUAAGUAGUUGUUAUUAGAAUUUUUAGAUUAAAUUGUUCCAACCCAUUCUAACCCGAACUAACCCGAAUUAACCUGAACUGAAAUUUUAACCCAAAUUAUCAACCUAACCCGAUCCGAAUUGCCAACCCAAUCGGUUCAGUUUGGCUCGGGUUGGCGUUUUCAACUCAAAUGGGUUCAAUUCUCAAAUCCGAAUGGGUUGAAACCCAAACCGAACCGAAACUCGAUUUACCCAUCCCUAAUCAGCUGUGGCUGGAAGACAGCCCCGCUGACAGCCAUGAAACUCAUAACUUGGAAUGUUCGAGGGCUGGGGAAAGAUCAAACAUUCCGAGAAGUUCAGCAAAUGGUGCAGGAGCAGAGGCCUCAAAUUUUGUUUCUUUGUGAAACAAAACUGAUGUCAAAGCAAAUGCAAGCAAAAGCAAAUGCAAGCAAAAGCAAAUAAGCUUCAUUACCAAAAUUAUUUUGUAGUCAGUAAGGAAAGAUUGAGGGGUAGUUUAGCAAUGCGGUGGAGCUCAAAGGUAACAGUGGAGAUUAAAUCAUUCAAUAAACAUCAUGUAGAUUCAGCAAUACAAAGUGAGAAUAGGAGUUACCUAGAGAUGUACGAGAAUAUAUGGCCAUCGGAAUAGACCAAAAAAAACACACUUGGACUUUUUUUAGAAGGUUAACUUCUUUAUCCUCUUUACUGUGGUUAUGUUUUGGAGAUUUCAAUGAAGUUUUGAAUUUGAAUGAGAAAAUAUGAGGGAAAGAUAAAAGAGUUUGCAUGGUGAAUAAUUUUAGAGAAGCUCUGAGGGAUUGUGAUAUAAUAGAUUUAAGGAAUACUAGGUAUCCGUUUACAUGGUCAAAUCGGAGGUUUGGGUCAAACAUUAUUGAAGAAAAGCUGGAUAGAUUUUUAUGUCAUAGUAGUUGGUGGAACUGUUAUCAAGAAAAAACAGUUGUGAAUCCAACUUCUUAGAAUUCAAACCAUAGCCCAAUCUUGAUGGACAUAAUAGAGAAAAGGAAUGGACAAAGGUAUUCGAAGAGAACCUAUCCUAUGAUUCAUUACGAGGAUAUGCGGAGUCCUUACGAGAAGUGUAGGGAGAUAGUGAAGCAUGAAUGGAAGGAGGUGAGCUGCUGGAAUAGAGGGAACCCGAUUCAAAGCUUCAAGCGAAAAUCAAGGGAGUCUUUGGUAGAGCUGAAAAUAUAGAGCAAUAUGGAAUUUAAGGGAAGGGAAAAGAAGCUAAAGCAGCUUAUUGAUAAGCUUAGAGUUUUAAAAGAGAGGUACAACCAUUAUAAGCACGUGGAUGAGAUUAAAAGAAUAGAAAAUUAGAUUGACAGCAUUCUGCUCGAUGAAGAAAUUUAUUGGAAGCAAAGAUCAAGGGCAGAUUGGCUAAAAGUGGGAGACAAAAACACGAUGUUUUUUCACUCAAAAGCUUCUGCGAUGAAAAAGAAUAAUAAAAUAUAUGGCCUUGAAGAUGGAAAUGGAAAGUGGAUUAAGGAAGCUAAUGAGGUGGAAAAAAUGUUAUGUGAAUACUUCACAAACAUUUUCACCACGACAAGUCCUACAUCGGAUCAAGAUCAACCUUUUACAGAAGGGGAAGUAGCAUAUGCUCUGCCUCAGAUGUGUCCCACGAAAGCUCCAGGCUUAGAUGGACUCCCGACAGCCUUUUUUAGAAAAAUUGGAGCUUAGUCAAAGGAGUUGUCAUAACAUGUCUGCACAUCGUAAACGAGGGAAGUAAUCUAACACCACUCAACCAUACGUAUAUUGCUUUGAUUCCAAAAGUGAAAAAACCUAGGAAAAUGACUGACUACAAGCCAAUUAGCCUCUGUAAUGUCAUUUAUAGAAUAGUCGAUAAAACAAUUGCCAACAAACUCAAUGUAACACCCUAGACAAAUCCCACAUCAGUAAAGUACGGGAGAGAUGAUGGAUUUAUAAGGGGUGAUCAACACUUUAAUUGGCAAGACGCAUUUUAGAGUAUAUGAACGCCCCAAAAAUAAACCCGUGCAUGCCUUGUUAAGGCUCAAAACGGACAAUAUCUUGACAGGUCUAGGUUGGAUCAUGACAUUAUAGUAUCAGAAUGGCUCUGCGUGUCCUCUUGAGCGAUGGUGGAACAAAUCUCAGCGAGAACGCUGAGUCCCUAAAGGGAAAUAUGUAAUACCCUAAGCAAAUCUCACAUCGACAAAGCACAGUAGAGAUGUUGGGUUUAUAAAGGGUGAUCCAUACUUUAAUUGGUAAGACGCAUUUUAGGGUGUAUGGGCGCCCUAAAAACAAACAUGUGCGGGUCUUAUUAAGGCCCAAAACGAACAAUAAAUUGCCAGGUCUGGGUUGGGUCAUGACAUUGUAUAUAACACCCUAGGUAACUCUCACAUCGGUAAAGCACGGGAGAUAUGUUGGGUUUAUAACGGGUGAUCCACACCUUAAUUGGCAAGACACGUUUUGGGUGUAUGGACGCCCUAGAAACAAAUUCGUGCGGGCCUUAUUAAGGCCCAAAGCGGAUAAUAUCUUGCAAUGUCUGGGUUGGGUCAUGACAUUAUGGUAUCAGAGCGGCUCCGAGUGUUUUCUUGAGCAAUGGUGGGGCAAACCUCAGCGAGGACGCUAAGUCCCUAAGGGGGUGUAUGUAACAUCCUAGGCAAAUCUCACAUCAGCAAAACACGAGAGAGAUGUUGGGUUUGUAAGGGGUAAUCCACACCUUAAUUAGUAAGACGAGUUUUGAGGUGUAUGAGCGCUCCAGAAACAAACUCGUGUGGGCCUUGCUAAGGCCCAAAGCAAACAAUCUCUUGUCAGGUCUAGGUUGGGUCAUGACAUUAUGGUAUUAGAGCGGCUCUGCGUGUCCUCUUGAGCGAUAGUGGGAUAAACAUCAAUGAGGACGCUAAGUCCCUAAGGAGAGUGUAUGUAACUCCCUAGGCAAAUCCCAUAUCGGCAAAGUAUGGGAGAGACCUGACAAAUGAGAUCCUAGAAAAGGUUAAAGUGUUUAUGUGGAGGGCUACAAAAAACUUGUUACCAACAGCUAAAAAUCUUUGGAAGAAAAAAGUGAUAAUGGAUCUUAUAUGCAAAAGAUGUUGCUGUAAAAGCGGAAAUGUCUUCCAUGCUUUAAUGGAAUGCAGAGCUACUAGGAAGGUGUGUAAAGUGAUAGAGUUUUAUGAGGAGGUGAAGCAGAUGGCUCAUCAAGACAUGUUGAGUUUGCUCCAAGAAAUGGCUUCGAAGAGAAUGAAGAAAGGUGUAGAAUUGUUUAUUGUAGUUUGCUGGGCAAUUUGGUACUCUAUGAAUUGUUUUAUCUUUGAUGGCAAAGAAGAAGAUUCUCUGAUUUCAGUGGCAAGAGCAGUAGCUAUUGUAGAGUCUUACAAGAGGAUUAAAAUCCCGAACGAUCAAGCAAUCUCAAGGCAUAGGAAAAUCAGUUAGCUGACAUGGAUAGCUCCCCCAAAUGGCUGUUUUAAGGUGAAUGUGGAAGCUGCAAUAAAAGUCUCAGAGCAAAAGGAAGGUUUGGGAGUGGUCAUCAGAAAUUCCAGUGGAAGUGUUGUUACAGUAGCAAUUCAGAAUGUUCCAUACCAAGGAAAUGUAGCUUGUAUGGAAGGUGAAGCUGCUCUGUUUAGAAUUCAAGCUGCUCAACAGGUGGAUUGUGUGCCAAUGAUCAUUGAAUCAUAUUCAAAGGAAGUGGUGGAUCUUUCAUUAAAUAUAAAGGAAAGCAAGACAGAAAUAACAUGGAUUAUUGCAGAAAUUCAGACAAAGCUUAAAAUUCAGAGCCAAGCAUCAAUCCAAUUUGCUCCAAGGGUCUGUAAUGUCAUUGCUCAUUCCAUAGCCAAGAAAGCAUUAGCUGCUGAAAAUCAUUGUAUUUGGCUGGAAAAUUUUCCAAUUUAAAUUAUGAUGUUACUGUCAAAGUUUGUUUAAUGGAAAGCUUUACUUCCUCAUUAAAAUAAAAAAAAAAAAACUACUAGUCAACAAAGACCAAGUAAACCAUGUGCUCCGAUCUUGAAAAUUAGGAUGAUAUUUUGUCAUGUAUCCUGGUUUUAUCAUUAAUUUAUAUCAGACACCGACAAUCCGACAUCGUAUUGCCUUCUGAAAAUAGAUUUUAGGUACCUAGUCAAAGUGGUCAUUCAUGCAGGCACUCGUUUGACCUUACAAAAUUAUUUAAUCUUAUCUUUCAAUAUCAGAUAUUUUCAAUAUUUGAAAUUUUGAUAUAUGAUGUUAAACUUGCAAAUCAUGUGAUUGCAUUUGCUUACUGAUUAAAUAUCAUCAGAUGAUCGCAUGUUAGAAAAAAAAAAAAAACCUAAAUUAUCUUAUAAAUUAAUUAAAAAAUCGUUGACCAUAAUAAAUAAACAUACAUACCAUGAGGUAAAUACAAGAAGCGAUGGCGAAGGUCCAGUAGCGGCCGAGAUGGGCAUCGGCAACAUAAGCGCCCACAAUGGGGGUGACCCAAAUGGUGCCAACCCAGUUGGUGACGUUGUUAGCCGACUUCACAGUGCCCUGAUGCAGCUUGUUUGUCAAAUACAGCACCAAAUUUGACGAUAUCCCAUGAUAGGCCAUACGUUCAAACGCCUCGUAUGCUGCAAGUAAUAACAGCAAGCCAAAAAGUAGCCAACAAAAGAUUUAGAAAACAGUCGGGAAUUGAACAGUUUUGUUAAAUAUCUCCUAAAAAGUAACGUGACUACAAGUCGUGAUUUGAUUUGGAGAGAUGGACGGGAAAGGACCGCUUUUUGGUAACCACCCAUGGGGUCUUUGACAACUCCAAGUUUUGGAGCUAUGUAAUGAUUAAGGGUUACUUUUACUGUUUAAAGAUUCACUAAAAUCUCUGGAAGUGGUACAAGAAAUCUGAAGUUCGAAGCUCGCUUAUGCACACGAGGAGAUCAUACGAGGAUGAGGAAAAAGGAAAAGGGUUCCAAGGAAAUAUGGAAGAGGGAACAAAGGCAUGCAUAUGCGAUUGCAAGGUGAGACAAAAGUGUCAUAAGAGAAAUGAGCUAGCAAAACGGCUGGCCGAAUCCUGAACAAAGGCAUGCAUAUAUGGAAGGAAAUAUAAUAACAACUCUUACACUUAUAUAGUAUUAAACUGAGAGAAGUUCAAAUAUUGUACCAACAACAAAGGAGCAAGCUCUCCAUCCCCCACGCUUGGAUCUGCGAACAGGGUUGCCUUUGAGGUCCACAGUGCCAUCUUGUGUAUAAUCGUCUAUAUUUCCUUCCAUAUUUUUAUUUAAUUAUUUGCUGCUCCUUCUCUUUUCUUCUUGUUCGUCAGUUUAAGUUUAGAGUGUCCAUAGAUGUAUAAUAUCGUCAAAUUUAUAGACACUCAAUUUCUCUUCGCCGGGAAAGAUAAUUAGUAGUAAAUUUACCCAUAUGCCAUCACCAAUCUUCCUCCGAUAUUUUUUUUGGGUUGGGGGGGGGGNNNNNNNNNNNNNNNNNNNNNNNNNNNNNNNNNNNNNNNNNNNNNNNNNNNNNNNNNNNNNNNNNNNNNNNNNNNNNNNNNNNNNNNNNNNNNNNNNNNNNNNNNNNNNNNNNNNNNNNNNNNNNNNNNNNNNNNNNNNNNNNNNNNNNNNNNNNNNNNNNNNNNNNNNNNNNNNNNNNNNNNNNNNNNNNNNNNNNNNNNNNNNNNNNNNNNNNNNNNNNNNNNNNNNNNNNNNNNNNNNNNNNNNNNNNNNNNNNNNNNNNNNNNNNNNNNNNNNNNNNNNNNNNNNNNNNNNNNNNNNNNNNNNNNNNNNNNNNNNNNNNNNNNNNNNNNNNNNNNNNNNNNNNNNNNNNNNNNNNNNNNNNNNNNNNNNNNNNNNNNNNNNNNNNNNNNNNNNNNNNNNNNNNNNNNNNNNNNNNNNNNNNNNNNNNNNNNNNNNNNNNNNNNUAAUAAUUAAUGAUAAUUAUUAUUAAUAAUUAAUUUUUGAAUAUUAAUAAUAACAAUAAUUAAAUUACAAAAUAAUAAUUGUGAUAAAAAUUAAUUAAGAAUUUUAUAGUAAUUUAUUACAAUUUAACUCAUUCUAAUUUUGAUUCAUGUUUAGUGAACGCACUAUAAAAUUGUAAAUCAUUUUAUAUUCAAUUAGACCACUCUAUAUUAUUUACAAUUUAUUCAUAAAUAUUAUGAAUUUUAUAGUGCAUUCACUAAUCGGAAUAGUUAUAAUCAAGAUGAGGAAUUUGAAUCAGAAUAAUUUAUUUACUUGAACUGCAAGAAUUGUAAUUAGAAUGAGCUAUAUUACCAUUUAUGUGUUUACUUUGUCUUAAAUCAAAAUCAUAAUGAGUUAAAUCGUAACAAAUUACUAUAAAAUUCUUCAUUAAUUUUUAUCAUAAAUAUUAAUUUACAGUUAAUAAUUAUUAUAUUUUUUAAUUAAAUGGAUGGUAUUUUGGGAAUUUAAAAUUAUAAGGGGUGAAUUGAUAGUCUAAGGGUUUCAAUGAAAUAAAACAGAGUGUAAGAAGCUUAACAAAAUUUUAUAAUACAGAAAGUUUUAUAAUAUUUAUAAAUAAAUUAUAAACAAUAUAGAGUAUAGGGAGCUGAAUGAAAUUUUAUAGGACAGCGGUUGAUGUUAGGCGGACCCGUAAAUAAUAAUAUACAUGUAACACUGGUUGAAUUUUAAAUAUACUUCAGCAUAAAGUAGAGGUGAGGAACUGUAUGUCCAAGACUGUACAAGCUCAUGAUCAUUGGUUCAUCAAUUACUGAUAUCUCUCAUUUGACGCGUGGAGAAACAGUUUCCGUAGAGACCUGGAAACCUAGAGUCAAAGCAUGGGUCAAACUUAAUUUAAUAAUUUUUUUCUGGAGUAGGAAGGUAUGAGCAGCAUGGCCCAAAAAUUCUUUGUGGAAAAAAUUUUGCAAAUUAAAUCAACCGAAGACCCCACAACUGGUGAUUAAGACAAAUUAAGCCAGCUUCCUCUUGCCAAUGUCAUCAUAAGUGAAUGCGUGAUUGACAAACGCUCAACUAUCUUAUGGAUUUCUUAGCUUCCAGUCAUUGAACUGUUUUAAAUAUUCGUCGACUAUUCAAAAUUAUGAGACCAGUUGGUUGGUUUCGAUUAGAUUAUUUCUACACCAAUCACUAUAAGUACAAAAAAUUUGUAUAAUAGGGUGCGUUUGGAAUUGAGGUGCUGUAGAUUAAAAGCUACAGUUGUUGUGAAAAAAAAAAACUGUAACUAUGAAAUAAAAGUUAGUAAUAUAUAAUAAAUAUAAAUUUUAAAUAAUAAUUUUGAUAAAAUUAUUAAAGAUAUAAUAGAUUUUACAUUAUACAAAUGAAAAAUUAUAUCAACGUAACUUUCAAGAUACAACAACUAAUAUUUACCAAACGUUUUAGUGUUGUAACUUUUAAGAUACAGUUGUCCAACCUCAAUUUCAAACGCACUUUAUCUAUAACUAAAAUCACAUUUAUUUUAAUCAUCUUAUUUGUUAUUUAAUCGCUACAUUGAACCAUAUGAAUGAGGAUUAUUUUAUGUCUUUUUUUUUCUAAAUAAACUAAUAUUAACGCCAAGUAUUAUGAAUGAGGAUUAAGUCACGAGUUAUAUUAUCUCGCUUCGCACAUAUGAUAAAAGAAAAAUCCGUGAUUAUUGGCUGUGAAAAUAGGGGGACCACUCCAAGACAUUACAAGAAUCAAAUUGCAUUUACACAUUUGACCACGCAUUUGCACGGCUGCAACUUGUUUUCAACCGACCAUCCCUAUCAUGGGAUCAGAAUUGCUGACUCUUGAAUGAUCGUGUGCAUUGACUUGAUUUUCCACGACUCUUUCACUCUUCUUUUGAUUAGUAAAGUCGUCAGAAACAGCAACGGCUUCUAGACUUCCUAGUUAAACGAGAAUGGUGAAAAUGGACCAACGAAGAUGCAAUUGAAAUUGAGAUUUUCAAUUACAAAUAGAAAAAAAAAAAAAAAAAAGGAAAAAGCGAAUACAUACAUAAUUUGUAAAAGUAUUCCGAACUCUCGCAUCAACUAUUUAAAAUUGUUGUGAAUGGUCGUUAGUUCAAACGAUAAAAUCUUUUAAAUACAAAUAAGAGGUUCGAAGUUUGAAUCAAUUAUUUGUAAUUUUAAAUUUAAUUUAUGAUACCAUCAUAAUCUUAUAUUACCUUGAUGUUAAAAGUGAUGUUAAUUUAGAUUAACUUUUUCAAUUAUUUUGAGAUUUAUGGUGAUCAUAUUCUAUUUGAUUUUACCAACUGGCUGCAUUACUUAGUUCUUGAAAUUUUUUAUUUAUAAUCUUUCAAGUUGUGGUGACCCAUGGUGAAAGUGAUUUUAGUUUUUUAUGAAUACUUUUUCUAGAUUUUAGAAUAAAAAGAGUACUAAUAAAGAAACUUAUUUGCGAUCACAUUGAACAUAAAGCAUUUUUGUAUAUCAAAAAAUAGAAUCAGCCUACACUUUUUUAUCUCUAAAAAUGGAAUCAACUUAUAUUUAUCAUGGAUUAUGAGAUGUGGCAUUUGUGACGCAAAUAAUGGUGUAAUGUAAUUAAUCACGUUUAAAAAUUUAUAAAAAUUGAUCACAUUCACUAUUUGAAUAUUUUAUUUUCAUAUCAAAUGUAGAUUACAUCACAUAAUGAGCAUUUUCAUUUAAUUUUAAAGGGGAAAAAAUAAUACUAAACAUCCCAAAACUUCCACUAGAAUAUUCAUUUCAAAAUAAGGUGUGAUACUCGUCAAGCGAUGACUAAUCUUUCAUAGUUUUUAAAGUAAUUUAUUUUAAUAUUUAAUGAUUUACAUGAUCCGUGCUACGCACCUCUUAUAUAUAGUACAAUGAAUUUUUUUUCUAGAUAAGCACUAGUGUUUAUUUCAAUCACCUCUAUGAAUUUUAUAUUGGUAUCACAUAUAUAAGUUUUGUCUCCCAACUUUAUAAAUUUAUCACUAGUAUACAAGUGAUGAAUAAUUGACUGGAAACAUAAAUUAAGCUCUUCUUGACUCAUUUAACUUAUUACCUUUGGCAGACAUAAAGGUCGCUUUUCAAAAAUAAAAUAAUGGUGAAUCCCUGGACUGCUUGAUUCUAAAAAUUAAAUAAAAGAUAAUUUUGUAUUCAUCUCUUCUUUCUGGUGUGACAAGCACGUUAAAAAUUGCUCUACAUUUCGUUAUGGAUUUAUUUCUACUCGUAAACCAGACAGCACGAAAUAUUGAAAUUUUUUAAGUCUCAAUUUUUGUAAUUAUAUCUUUAUUUUCUUUCUGUCUAGUUUUCUUGAUUAUGUUGUCGGAUAAAACUGUGGUGCAACUGUGGUACCAUGCCACAGUUGCACCCAACCGUUGGAUUCCCACUUAUUCAAGUAGACCCCACUCAUUUGAGUGGAUCCAACGGCUGGUGCAACUGUGACACGGUACCACAGUUGCACUAUAGCUUGACCCUUAUGUUGUCUCAUGGAAGAAAUUCCUGACGUGACGUGUGUUUAUUUUUAUCUUAGUAGUCAAUAAUUUGAUGUGAUUGAACGUUAUUAAUACGCAUAUAUAACCAAAACUGUUUAUUUUUGUGCCUAAUAACUAAUUGACAGUAAAAUGAAAAAAAAAAAAAAAAAGAGGCAACAGAGAACUAAAAUUAGUUGGAAAUUAACUGAACAGCCAUUGGGUCUCCUGAGAUUAAAACUAAGGGUCUGAUUAUGUUGGAACUGCUCUAAGGUAGAGCAUUCUUUAAUAACCACACGAUCAAAGUUAUAACAAAUUUUUUACUAUUUAUCAUUUUUCAUGUAUGAUUAUAAUCCGUGUUUUACCUUAAAGUAGUUCCAAGAUAGCAGUGGCCUAAAACUAAUUAUAUGUGAAAUGUUAUAAAAUAAUUACCAUUAUUUGGGUCUACAAUUACCAUUUUAGGAAAAAAGAUUAUUUUUACCCAGCGUUGUUGUUAAUUUUAAACUUUCUGCUGUACGGCCAAGGCGGAUGUACGGUACAGCAGUAUGAAAUAAAAGUUAGUAAUAUAUAAUAAAUAUAAAUUUUAAAUAAUAAUUUUGAUAAAAUUAUUAAAGAUAUAAUAGAUUUUACAUUAUACAAAUGAAAAAUUAUAUCAACGUAACUUUCAAGAUACAACAACUAAUAUUUACCAAACGUUUUAGUGUUGUAACUUUUAAGAUACAGUUGUCCAACCUCAAUUUCAAACGCACUUUAUCUAUAACUAAAAUCACAUUUAUUUUAAUCAUCUUAUUUGUUAUUUAAUCGCUACAUUGAACCAUAUGAAUGAGGAUUAUUUUAUGUCUUUUUUUUUCUAAAUAAACUAAUAUUAACGCCAAGUAUUAUGAAUGAGGAUUAAGUCACGAGUUAUAUUAUCUCGCUUCGCACAUAUGAUAAAAGAAAAAUCCGUGAUUAUUGGCUGUGAAAAUAGGGGGACCACUCCAAGACAUUACAAGAAUCAAAUUGCAUUUACACAUUUGACCACGCAUUUGCACGGCUGCAACUUGUUUUCAACCGACCAUCCCUAUCAUGGGAUCAGAAUUGCUGACUCUUGAAUGAUCGUGUGCAUUGACUUGAUUUUCCACGACUCUUUCACUCUUCUUUUGAUUAGUAAAGUCGUCAGAAACAGCAACGGCUUCUAGACUUCCUAGUUAAACGAGAAUGGUGAAAAUGGACCAACGAAGAUGCAAUUGAAAUUGAGAUUUUCAAUUACAAAUAGAAAAAAAAAAAAAAAAAAGGAAAAAGCGAAUACAUACAUAAUUUGUAAAAGUAUUCCGAACUCUCGCAUCAACUAUUUAAAAUUGUUGUGAAUGGUCGUUAGUUCAAACGAUAAAAUCUUUUAAAUACAAAUAAGAGGUUCGAAGUUUGAAUCAAUUAUUUGUAAUUUUAAAUUUAAUUUAUGAUACCAUCAUAAUCUUAUAUUACCUUGAUGUUAAAAGUGAUGUUAAUUUAGAUUAACUUUUUCAAUUAUUUUGAGAUUUAUGGUGAUCAUAUUCUAUUUGAUUUUACCAACUGGCUGCAUUACUUAGUUCUUGAAAUUUUUUAUUUAUAAUCUUUCAAGUUGUGGUGACCCAUGGUGAAAGUGAUUUUAGUUUUUUAUGAAUACUUUUUCUAGAUUUUAGAAUAAAAAGAGUACUAAUAAAGAAACUUAUUUGCGAUCACAUUGAACAUAAAGCAUUUUUGUAUAUCAAAAAAUAGAAUCAGCCUACACUUUUUUAUCUCUAAAAAUGGAAUCAACUUAUAUUUAUCAUGGAUUAUGAGAUGUGGCAUUUGUGACGCAAAUAAUGGUGUAAUGUAAUUAAUCACGUUUAAAAAUUUAUAAAAAUUGAUCACAUUCACUAUUUGAAUAUUUUAUUUUCAUAUCAAAUGUAGAUUACAUCACAUAAUGAGCAUUUUCAUUUAAUUUUAAAGGGGAAAAAAUAAUACUAAACAUCCCAAAACUUCCACUAGAAUAUUCAUUUCAAAAUAAGGUGUGAUACUCGUCAAGCGAUGACUAAUCUUUCAUAGUUUUUAAAGUAAUUUAUUUUAAUAUUUAAUGAUUUACAUGAUCCGUGCUACGCACCUCUUAUAUAUAGUACAAUGAAUUUUUUUUCUAGAUAAGCACUAGUGUUUAUUUCAACUUUUGGACCAAUUAAAUGAAUUAAAAUCGGACUGAUGCCCCUCAUUGAUUGGGAUCGAGUUCAAGUUUCAAAAUUCUUCCGAAUCAACUACGUUUCUAGAAAUAUGUUGAAAAUCAAACCAACCACUUUUUUUUUUAGUCGAUAGAUCAUGAAUGCCAACCAAUGAUACUUUAUUCUACCAAAUUGAUUACGCUUUUAGAAAUACGUUGAAAGAUCAAACCAACCAUUUUACUUAGAAUAAAAGCUUGAGUACCAACAUUCGAGUCCAAUAUUAAAUGUCACUUAUUUAUUAAAUGAUGAAUACAAAAUUAGUUAUUACUCUAUUAUAUCAUUAACAAAUGAAUGUCACAUUAAUUCUUAUUUAAAUUAAGACUCAAAUAUUAAUAUUCUUAACAUUACUAGUUUAUUUAUUUAAAGAGAAAAAAAGAAUAAGCAAUACAAAUAAUGAUACAUUUGUAAAUACACACACAUAUAUAAGGAUGGAUCAACAACCCCCUAAAAAUAUUCUCAAUUUUACAUUAAUUAAUAUUUAUUAGAUUUGAAUUGAAUCAAUGGAUGAGAUUUAUUGAAAUCAAAUAUUCAAAAUUUUUAAUAUCUUUUCUCUCUAUGUAAACCCCACCUCAAAUCUUUCUUCUUCUUUUAUUUUUUUUCUCUUAAUUCACGUGAUGUGCUUUCUCUCUCUCUCCCCUCCUCUCUUCUCUUCACUUGUUCUUUGUAAUCUAUGACUUUUCAUUUGCUUUUUUUUUUCUCAGCCAUAAAAAUUCUUGACUCCUUCAAACAAAAAUUCUUUACUCUCUUCAAUUGUUAACCUCACAACUCUUUGUGAAGAUGCCUAAAGAUAUAGAAGAUUUGGUAGACAAGCAAACACAAAAUUUUGUAGUAAUGUUGUUGUCAAUAGACAAGCAUAAUCACAAGGAUUUUUUUGUUAAACUUGUGUUUGAUGAAUGUUUCGGUGGUGGUUAAAAUUAAUAAUUUUGUACUUUCUAAUAGUAUGUGGAGAGAGAAAAUGAAUGAAAUAAAGAGUUGUGAGGUUAACAGUAGGAGAGAGUAAAGAAUUUGAAAAAUGCUAGGUAAAGAGAAAGUUGAGAGAAAUAGUGAAGAAAAUGGUAGAGAGAGAGUGGAUGGAUAGAGAGAGAGGAUUAAUUUCUCUCAAUUUUCUCUCAGCUUUCUCUCUGCUUAGCACCACACCACUUUCAGAAUUUUUGUUGGAGAGAGUUAGAAUUUUUAUGGUUGAGCAAAAAAAAAAGCAAACGAAAAGUCAUAGAUUAAAAAGAACAAGAGAAGAUAAGAGAGGAGGGAAGAGAAAGAGAAAGCACAUCAGGUGAAGGAAAAGUAAAAAUAAAAGGAGGAAAAAGAUUUGAGGUGGGGAUCACAUAGAGAGAAAAGACAUUAAAAAAUCUUGAAUAUUUUUUAAUAAAUCACACCCAUUGAUUCAAUUCAAAUCUAAAGCAUAUUAGUUAGUGUAAAAUUAAGAGUAUUUUUAAGGGAUUGUUGAUCCAUCCCUUAUAUAUAAAUAAUUCUCUAGUCAAGGCAUUCUUACUCUUAGCUAAUUAGCUAGCAGUUGCUCUUUAUCUCCCCACUUUCUUCAUUUAGGUCUUAUUUGGGAUUAAAGUAUUGUAACUUUUAAAUUAAAUCUGUUGUAGAAAAAAGUUGUAACUAUAAAAUAAAAAUUAAUAAUAUGUAGUAAAUAUAAAUUUUAAAUAAUAAUUAUAAAUUUUCUAUCAUACAAGUAAAAAAUCAAUCAGAUUAAUACAGCUUCUAAGUUAUAACAGUUAGUGUUUACCAAACAUUUUAGUGUUAUAAUUUAAAACUAUAGUAAUCCAACGUCAAUCACAAACACACCCUUAAUUACCCACCAAGCCCCCCAGAAUUCUUAUCUCGGCCAGCUCGCCGGCCCUAUCACUGCCGACUCUGACCUCGCCUAGCCCUUUGGCAAGCUUGAAGGGAUUGAUUCUGAUGCCAUCCGUGAGACCGCUUACGAGGUACUUUUCACUUCAUGCAGGUCUUCUCCAGGGCUUGGUGGACCCAAUGCUACAAGCUUUUAUUCCUCAAAUGACAAUAAUAAUAAUAACGGUGGUGGUGACGAGGGAGUAGGAGGAGGCGGUGGUUCUGAAUCCGGGUCACCGACCGCUAGGUUUAACGGCUUCAUACUAAUUCCAAUUCUUAUUUUGAGCAUGCAACAAAUGCCAUUCAAUCUGCCUGCCAACAUGUAUCAGAAGUUGCUGCCUACCGUCUAAUCUUCCUUGAUUCAAACUUCGUGUUCUACGAAAGUCUUUAUGUCGGUGAUGUUGCAAAUGCAAGAGUUAGGCCUGCAUUGCAAACUCUUAAGCAGAACCUCACUCUUUUGAGUGCCAUUCUUAUGGAUAAAGCUCAGGCUUUAGCCAUAAAAGUAAGUUAUGAAGGCAUCUUUCGAAGCAUUCCUUAUGAUUUUGCUUGUUGGGGGAAGCUCCCGAGUCUUCUAUCGUUCCGAUCAUCAGAUGAUUGAGGAAGAUUUUGACAGCUUGAAGAGGGUAUUCUGCACAUGUGGUGAAGGACUGAUAGUUGAAGAUGUGGUGGAUCGCAAGGCUGAGACCGUUGAAGGGGUGAUAGGUUUGAUGGGGCAACAAAUUGAACAACUAAUAGAAGAUUUCAUAAUUCUUUUAUGUGAAACAAGUGGUAUCGGAGUUGGAAGCACAAGUCAAAAGCUACCAAUGCCACCAACAAUAGGAAGGUGGAACAGAGCAGAUCCUAACACCAUACUGAGGGUUUUGUGUCACAUGAACGACCGAACGGCAAACCAGUUUCUGAAGAAAUCUUUCCAGUUAGCAAAGAGGAAAUGAAGAUAAACCUUGUCUUGUACAUUUGAAAUAGAGAGAGUAAAUUUGUGUUUCACAAUAGUAUCGAUCACUUCUAGCCAAAUAACUGAAAAUAAAACUUGGAAAUACUAUAGGGGGUUCUUGUAUCUAAAUUCUGUUCACUCAAAUUCUAUAUGAAGAUGUUGUUGAGGGUUGAGAGAGCAUUGUAGUCUUUUUGGACUUCAAUUUUUUUUCCUUUUUCUUUUUUUCCUAGCACUAGGUACUGUUUGAUCUUAGUGUGAAUCUUCUUGGAGUAUUUUAUCAUAGAGAGUGUGCGUAAUAUAUCUUCGCAUAUAGUUUUUUUCUUUUAUUUUUAAUCUUUAUUUAUCCUGUCUACAAGAUGAAUAUUUUUAAAAAUAAAAACUCACAUGGUUAUCUAUUGAGCUAUUACUCUGUGAUUAGAAGAGAACUCACAGUGAAAUCCAUCUAAUGGUUUUUGCUUUUGUAGAUUUUCAAGAUUUUUUUUCCCUAAAAUUUCAACUUUCCAUAGAGUCACCAGGGAAACAAAUACUUUACAACAUUUUCUUUACAUUCUUUUUCUUCUCUUUCGAGCUAAAACAUUCUUGUGACUGAUGUGAAGGAAAUUUAACACAGACUGUUGUAUCAAACAAUCAACCCCAAAGUAAAAUUAUCAGUUAAAUCUCUAUAUUAGCCUGGCCAGAAACCGAGCUUCAGUUCUGAAAUUACUAUAAAAUUCUUCAUUCUGCUGUACCGUACAUCCGCCUUGGUCGUACAGCAGUUCAUCACCUUCAGUUCUUCAGUGAGCACCUCCAUUGAAUCCGAAACUUCAGCCUUGUACACAUAGAACUUUGCCACUACCAAGAAGAAAACAAAGUUCAAGACAUUCAAUAUAGCGAAAAAGGCAUAGUAAUAGUCCAAAUGAGAAACAUUAAGGUUGUUUAGAAUCCAUCCUUUGUGCCCAUGCCUUUUGGUUAUGUCAGAAACCGUUGAAAGCAGAAAGGUACUAAGGAAAUUUCCAAUUCCUAAAGUAGUCAUUGAAUAAGAAGUUCCAAGACUCUUCAUGCUCUCUGGUGCCUGAUCAUAAAAGAACUCAAUCUUCGCUACCUCCUCUAGGAUUCUUAGUCCACCUUCGCGUAAUCCUGACAAAGUAUCGGUCAUAUAAGACGACACAAAUAAGCAUUGAUAAGGUUACAAAUCCUGUUAAACUUGCAGGGGGGAUCUUGAAGUUGCUACCCAUAGCUCUAUCAAGGGUAGUGCCUUGCUUUACAAAAAGGGUGUUGAUUUGAGCAAGCAUUGUGCUGGGAACAAACGUGGCAACCAAGAUUGGGAUCAUUGCUAACAUUUGCUUGGUUUCCUCUACUUGAGUCACUGAGCAUAACAUCCAUGGAUUUGUUGAACUUGUUUUGACUGCAGCUUUGUUAAAAAACCUGCACGCAAGAAUAGACAUGAAGAUACAAUUAAACAAAAAUGUUCCUUGAGUCUGCCACCUAUUCAAUGGGACCAAUAUAUAUAUAUAUGCAACUAUGACACUAACCUCAAAUUUUGGGUGGAGUCGAUCCUGUACUUCCCUUUUUGUGCAUAAUCUUCCAAGUUAAGUUCAUAAAGUUCUUUAGGGUCAGUAGGCAGAGGCACAUUCCAUUUUCUUAUGGCAGCAACAAUGACCUUUGCCAUCCUUGUGAAUGGGCUUCCUGUGGGCUUCUUGUGCCUGUAAAAGGGUGUGCCAGCAAAGAAAAUCGCAAUGGAUAUCGCAAGACCGAGUGUCGGAAGCCCAUAACCCAAGGUCCAGCCCACAUUGUCUUGUAUGUAGACAAGCACUGUAUUGGCAAAGAGUGUCCCAAAGAAGAUGCUGAACAUCCACCAGUUGAAGAAGGAGAGCUUAUGGGCCUUCUCCUUGGGCUCAAAUUCAUCGAAUUGGUCCGCGCCUAUC
rnacentral:lncRNA from 1 species